AAAGACAAUGCUUAUUAAUAUAAAGCAUUUCUUAAAGAUAUCUAAACAAAUAAAAGUUACAUUUAGUGCCAUAUUUAAUUUCAUUAGACAUUUUAGAAUCCAAAGUCAUAAUUUUAUAUUACGUGGAAUUACAAAUAAAAUAAUAAAAAUAUAUUAUUGAUUAGCGGCACAAAACUUAUAUAUCAAAACAUGGAAUAUUCUAGCUUAAAGUAAAUUUAUUUGAUCUUUUCUAGUUAAAGAAACAUAUUUUUCUUUCGUGGUGUUUAUGUACUCUCUUAGAAGUAAUUCUCAUACUUUAAGUAGUUUCGCUUCAAAAAACCUACAUUUGUUGUUAAUACACUUACAAAUUAAAUCAGGCAUGUGAGAAAUAUCUUGACAAUCUUGAACAGUCUCACAUUUACGAAAUGCUGCAAUGAAAAAUAAAACAAAAUAAUGUUGUAAAAACGAGAUAAAAUAUUUAAUAAAAACAAUAAAAUAAGGAAGAAAAAUUCAUAAGGUGGGAAAAUUGUUUACCAUCAACCUCCUUUAAAACAAGGAGUAUGAAAAGAGAUAAAAUCAUAGCACAAAAAAACUUUGGUGUUUUACCCAUUAUUUUCCUCUACAUGUAACAAAUAGAAUAAGAUUUGAUGACUUUAUAGUGUAAAAGAUUCAUGCAAUGUUAAAAUAAAUAAAUAUAUUUUUACAAUUUGAGUAGAUUAAAAUAAUUUUUUCGUCACUUUAAAAAUUUAAUCAAUAUUUUUUAAGUAGAUUAAUGUGUUAUGAGUUGCCUCUUUAGCGACACCAAAUUUUUUUAAAAGAAGAAAUAUAAAAAGAAUUAAAAUUAUAGCACAAAUAAACUUUGGAGUUUUAGCCAUUAUUUCCUCCUUUACAUAUAAUAUGAUUUGAUCGCUUCAUGGUGUAAAAGGCUCAUGCAAUGCUAAAAAAAAUAUAAAUAUUUUUACAACCUGAGUAUAUUAAAAUAUUUUGUUUGUCACUUUUAAGAACUUAAUCAAUAAAAAAUGAGAAGAUGAAUGAUGGGGAUGGCAGAUCGUAGAUUUAGCGUGGAAGAGUUGUAAGUUUAGCAUUCAACGUUCAAGUUGAUAUUUGAGAAAGAAGAGUGGAUUCAAAUUGUAUUUGAAACUUGUUAUUUGAAUUUGACAAUUUUUCUAUAUAUAAUAGAGAGAGAAUAAAUAACUCACUAUUAGAUACAAGUGAAUUGCAGAGAUAUGUAGGAUGCAUUUACAUCUAUAUCAUUGGUUAUCAUUAGUAUGAUAAUCUUCUCAUAUUAAAAAGAUUUUGGAAGGAGUGAGACCUUUCUCUGCCCGUUAACCGAGAUUGAUGUGGUUGGCUCAGAGUCUUCCAGUGUCGAUCUUGUCGUCCUAUAACAAAAAUAAAUAAAAUCCUAUCAAAAUAAACUUUGGAAUUUUAGCCAUUAUUUUCCCUUUGCAUGCAACUAAUAGAAUAUGAUUUGAUCAUUUU
rnacentral:lncRNA from 1 species